rnacentral:tRNA from 1 species
AGGUAAAAAGCGAAAUAUUGCAUUCAGUUUCGACCUGACUUUUGGUAUUAAUUAUACCUUUACCUG